CAGGAAAGAAGGAACGAUGAUUUUGAGGUAACUGAAUACUCUUUGCAUUCCGAAUAUGCAGGACUGGUUUGAAGUCUUAUUUGGAAUAACACUUAACACACACACACACAUAUACACACACACACACACACACACACACGGAGUCUCUCU